UACGUAGGGUGCAAGCGUUAUCCGGAAUUAUUGGGCGUAAAGAGCUCGUAGGCGGUUUGUCGCGUCUGCUGUGAAAAUCCGGGGCUCAACCCCGGACUUGCAGUGGGUACGGGCAGACUAGAGUGCGGUAGGGGAGAUUGGAAUUCCUGGUGUAGCGGUGGAAUGCGCAGAUAUCAGGAGGAACACCGAUGGCGAAGGCAGAUCUCUGGGCCGAUACUGACGCUGAGGAGCGAAAGCGUGGGGAGCGAACAGG
rnacentral:rRNA from 1 species